rnacentral:rRNA from 1 species
UGGGGAAUUGUUCGCAAUGGGCGCAAGCCUGACGACGCAACGCCGCGUGGAGGAUGAAGGCCCUUGGGUUGUAAACUCCUUUUGCAGGGGAAGAAAUGCGAUCAGGUGAAUAAUCUGGCCGUUUGACGGUACCCUGCGAAUAAGCUCCGGCUAACUCCGUGCCAGCAGCCGCGGUAACACGGGGGGAGCAAGCGUUGUUCGGAAUCACUGGGCGUAAAGGGCGUGUAGGCGGUCAGGUAAGUGGGAUGUGAAAUGCCCCGGCUCACCCGGGGACCUGCAUCCCAAACUGCUUGGCUUGAGUAUGGGAGAGGAUGAGGGAAUUCCUGGUGUAGCGGUGAAAUGCGUAGAUAUCAGGAGGAACACCGGUGGCGAAGGCGCUCAUCUGGCCCAAUACUGACGCUGAGGCGCGAAAGCUAGGGGAGCAAA